UUAAAUGUUGUUUAUUUUAUUUUGGUUGUUGUUUGUUUUAUUUAAUUGUUUGUUAUUUUAUUUAAUUGUUAGAAUUGUUUGUAGAAUUUUUGUGAAAUUAUUUGUUAAAUGAUAAUUAUUUAUUUUUUUUAUUUUUUUAUUUUUAAAAAUGUGAUUAUGUGAGAUUUGGUUGAAUGCACUAAGGUCCAUGGUAGAUAGUGAUGUACCCUAGUGAUUUAGUGUGUGCUAGUGCAUGGUAGCAUGGUACACAUGUGUAGAUUUUCUACACACUCUAUACUUCCUUAUUUUAGAUUUUGUUAGAAUUAAUUUAAAAUAUAAAUGGAAAGGGAAACCAUAGUGGACGUGUGGCUUAGAGUGGGAAAGGAAGAGGAUUAUUUCAAUAUAUUUUAUUAUUCCAAUAAAUUAAAAAUAAGGUGAUAAUGCUAUUUUGGGAUAGGAAUGUGAUCACCAUUUUAUCUCCUAUAUCAAUUGUGAUAAAAGAAAAUAAUAAGAAAUUAAAAGAAAAUAAAAAGAGAAAGGAAACUUACCUUUUUCUUUUAUUGAGUCAUUAUGAGAGAAUUAGGUUAAAGAGGGAAUGGAAAUAUUGGAAGAGCAUUAUGCUCUUGGGGCUGUCGUGUGUUGAAGAGAGGAAGAGAGAGAGAGAGUGGCGAGCUAGAGAGAGAAAGGGGAAGGGGCUGCCAUUUUCUAGAGAGAAUGAGGAAAGCAAGAAGAAGAAGGAGAAGAGAAACCAAGUCUAGAGUUUGAACAAGGGGUGGUAAAAUUUGGUAUUGGUCACCUUGUGUUCUUGAUUCUAUCAAUCAAGAAAGGUAGAAAAUAGGUUUCUCUAUAGCACGCGUGGUGAUGUGGGGAGUUCUAUCAUCGUGGUGUGUAUGGUGUGGGGGCAUCCUAUGGACGAGAAACAAUAACCCUUUAAACGCCAUUUUUAAUAAUGUUAUGUUUAAUGGGAUUUUUCUUAAAAUUAUGAGUGGGACAAACUUUUGUUUGUUUUAGAACUUUGCAUAAAAUUGAUAUUUUCUUUUUAAACUUUUGGGCCCAACUUGCAUGUUUUAAGCGAGACCCCACUGAAACCUUUAUAAUAAGUGGCUUUUUAUUAUAAACCAUUGAAAAUAUGAAUAUUUUAUUAAGUACUAGUUAAGGGCGUUUUACAAUGGCAUUUGU